rnacentral:rRNA from 1 species
CCUACGGGAGGCAGCAGUAGGGAAUAUUGCUCAAUGGGGGAAACCCUGAAGCAGCAACGCCGCGUGGAGGAUGAAGGUUUUCGGAUUGUAAACUCCUUUUGUUAGAGAAGAUAAUGACGGUAUCUAACGAAUAAGCAACGGCUAACUCCGUGCCAGCAGCCGCGGUAAUACGGAGGGUGCAAGCGUUACUCGGAAUCACUGGGCGUAAAGAGAGCGUAGGCGGGAUAGCAAGUCAGAUGUGAAAUCCUAUGGCUUAACCCUAGAACUGCAUUUGAAACUGUUAUUCUAGAGUAUGGGAGAGGUAGGUGGAAUUCUUGGUGUAGGGGUAAAAUCCGUAGAGAUCAAGAGGAAUACUCAUUGCGAAGGCGACCUGCUAGAACGUAACUGACGCUGAUGCGCGAAAGCGUGGGGAGCAAACAGGAUUAGAUACCCCAGUAGUC